rnacentral:other from 1 species
UUCCGAGCGACGAAUGAGCGGGGAAGAUGCGGGUUAUCGGCCUAAACAUCCCCAAGUUUCGGCGUUGAGACGGGUGAGGACAUUAUAUAACCGUUUGGCGGGCCACCGAAUUCCCCAAAAGAUGAAAAAUGCUUGACACCGGAAUGGGCGUUUGCUAUAAGCAAACAUGCCGAUGGCAGCAGGUCGGCAGUGUUCGUGACAGGUUCGGUUUCCAGCAAGGGUUUGUUCCGAAAGGAGGGUACGCGCAGUGGCACGAGGAAAGGUAAAGUGGUUCAACGCCAGCAAGGGGUACGGGUUCAUCUCCCAGGACGACGGGAGCGACGUGUUCGUCCACUUCUCGGCAAUUCAGGGUGAUGGGUUCAAAACCCUGGAUGAAGGCCAGGAGGUCGAGUUCGACGUCAUUAAGGGGGCCAAGGGUCCGCAAGCGGCCAACGUCGUCAAAGCCUGAACGCGUUUACCCUCCCACACGCAUGUUAAGGCGCCCUUUCGGCACGUUCCGGAAGGGCGCCC